ACGGAAGGUGCGAGCGUUAAUCGGAAUUACUGGGCGUAAAGCGCGCGUAGGCGGCUGUGUAAGUCGGAUGUGAAAUCCCCAGGCUCAACCUGGGAACUGCAUUCGAUACUGCACAGCUCGAGUUCGGUAAAGGAAAGUGGAAUUCCGGGUGUAGCGGUGAAAUGCGUAGAUAUCCGGAAGAACACCGGUGGCGAAGGCGACUUUCUGGGCCGGCACUGACGCUAAGGCGCGAAAGCGUGGGGAGCAAACAGG
rnacentral:rRNA from 1 species